CCUGCCGAUCCUUACACCAUCCUCCCACUCCGCCGCUCCGUUUUUGUGGCUUUCGGGUAAAGCAUUUUUAUUUAUAUUUAGUUCUUCUCUCGACGCUUUUCCUAGGCCAUUAUCAAAGUCCCUUCCUUCCAGCAUUUGUGAAUUACAAAAAUGAAAUUAAGUUCACACUUUGUCAUGUGGGGACAUUUACGGUUUUUAAUUGUUUGUGCGCUGCGUUAAGGACUUGAGCUAGAGUGCUGGCGAGAUGGGAAAAGUGCAGUAAGUGGGGAAAUGUUGCCUACAUUUCGGAGCUAAAAAAUUAUUCCUGGCAUUAAGUGAGGCACCCUUCAGUGGGCAGGCCACUUCAACUUGAACUUCCCAGGCCGCAUCCUUGACGUUUCCAGACGAGCACUAGGAAAUAAGUGUGCCGGAAAGCUUCAGAGUUACAAUUUUCCCGCAUCGACUGCACUACUUACAGAAGAUUUAAAUACAGAAAAGUACCCAGUACAUUUCAUAAUCUGUUCGUCCGAGCCUUUACACUCCUCCACUACUAUUUUAUUAAAAAGAGCUUACUUUUUUAGUAGCGUUUUACUGGGCUCAAUCGUGUGUAAUUUUCGGAUGUCUGUAUUUAAUCCGUUGGAGAGUUUUCAGUUUUUUAUGUUAGGUGGCUCAUAAAGUUGUAAUCGCAUUUCGGAAGGAAACCAAUUUUGUAACCGAUUUACAUUCGCUUGCUUUUUUCGGAGAUGAUAUGGGGCGAAAUGCGGUGUUUUAAAGAAGUCUGGCGGGCUUAUCUGAUGCU